GGGCCCACAUCCAAGUCUUUUUGAAAUUCUGGUACCUAGAUAUGGCUUUUUCACAGAGUUUUUUUUUUCUGCCAGGUAAAAAUUGUCGGAUCACUUAGAAACGUAACAACUUGAUCUGGGAGCUAUCAUUCAUGUGUGUUGCUUGAGGUUUGUUUAAUUUCUAGAUAAUUGGCCACUGUUGUUUCUACUCACCCGAACUUUAGGCAAUGCCACUUUACUUCAACCCAGGAGUUUAACUUUAUUUAGAGGCAAAAAUUCACGUGGCAAAGCUGCAGCGACUCUUGUUGUGUGGCAUUCUCAGCUGAUUUCAUGCUUUGAUGAUGGAAAAUUAGGCCCCUGUGCAUUGGCGAAUGAAAAGAGAGGGAGGGAUAGCUCCUGUUAUUGCCUCAGGACACUCCACCCCAACAACAAGAAAACUAGAGCAAAGGAGGCUGAGGCGCUGCCUGCUAAUGCACUCUAAACAAGAUGAUGAGCACUCACAAUCCCCAUGUGGAGCGUCUGCCAGCUUCAAAAAUAUCAGCAGUGUUUUUGUCUCUUUCUCUCUCUCUGCCUACUCAUACAGUGUUGUAAACCACAGUUAUGUGUCUGGCCUUUUAAACAGGCUCCAAACACAUCCCAUGCCUCUGAGGUGAUUUGACUGGCAUGUCAUUUGCAUUCUCUUUGACCAGUGAAGUACUGUGGAGAAGACGGUUAAAGCACCACUCUGAUGGCGUUUGGAGUCUUUGGGUGUGUUUAGCAAAAAGUCAUUUGAAACUUCACCUGUAACCUGUGUGUGUUCAGAGGUUAAAUUACCUCACCUCAAAAUUACCUGAGAGUUCAGUGACACAGAGCAACAGCUGGGAUUGUUCAGAGAGUUGGCUGCGCUGGAAACUUCAUUUCACGGCAUGAACGGCGCUCCAUCAUUGUAACGGAGGAGCUGAUGGGGCUCAGGGGAACUCUGUAGAGAAACUCUACAUGGCCCAGUAUGAGGAGAAGACAGGAAACAGUCUUUCAUUACAGUAUAGAGGCUUGCACAUGUGGGACGACUCUUUCCUCCAGUCUGUAGGCAUCACACCUGUCCACUGGUCUGCUAGGCAAAUCUUCUCCCUUUAAACCACCUUGGGACCAAGAUUACUGAGAUUUUGAAAAGAGUAAAACCGAAUAUUCGAUGUGAAAAGCAUUCCACACCACAGUGGAGCCAAGACCUGAAUGUGAUUUCACAGUGUACCAUCCUGAAACAUCACCGGCUGUACUUUUUUAGACACUUUGUCUGGGAUGUGGAAGCUGAAGCCUUAGUGGCAUCUGCAAGAAAGGAAGACAGUCAGACAGAGAUUUCUUCGCACUGAUGAAUUAGACCAAGAGCAUGUUUUCACAAAAACAUCGAUGGCUCAGAAAAUGAGGAGCAAAAAAGACUUUCUGUAGGACAGCACACAAAACUAGAAUGCCUUUCGGCAAUAUUUUCUGAAGAGUAGCAAACAAAGCCAGUGUGGUCUUUUCGUCCAGGGGACUACUUGAGUUGAGCUCAAAGUGGAACCAUAAAUAUUCAAGUGAGAGGAGGCCAGUGGAGGAAAGCUCUCAGUAAGACACCUGGAAGGCACAAUGGAGCUCAGGAUUGUGUGAUACAACCGCCAUCAGCUUCUCAAGGCAUACAGGGACGUGGUGUUGUUCGUCACACUGAACCUGAGGACACAGAUGAUGCCUCGGAGUCGCACUCUGAUGUUCCCAGUUCCUCCUCUCUCACGCAGCGUUAAAAAGUCUGGAUGGAAGUGACCCUAGAUGCCCGGCGAGAUUCUGCCGCCCCACACACACACACACACACACACACACACAACCUCCACUGUGACUGAAGCACCCCGCUGAGAGCUCAGAUGUCAGAGGUCGGCCUUCACCAUCAUAACCUCUACAGACGUGUCUUCCGGUCUUUCACAGAUCUCCGUCUGACUCACAAAACUCCAUCCUAAAUUACCAUCCAUCCAAACCACCUUAAGUAACUAGAUGUCCAGCCAACAGCUUCUGUAGGGAACAUCUCGAUUCUGACGCUAGAUUCAGCAGUCUUUCGAGUUUCAUGCACACGUUAAUUUGCAGAUCAGAUGUCUUGUUUUAAGGUAAGAGCAAGAAUAAAUACACAAACAUCUUGGUCAAAGAGUCAGGCCUGUUCAAAUCUCACCGCUCUAAUCUAAA